GAAUUAAACUUUUUAGCAAAAUAAAUCACGAAAGUGAAAUAACUUCAAGCACCUGUUGUUAAGGGAGCUGGAGGUGCAAGCAGGCAGGUAGGACCCAAACGCAGACGGUAUUGAGGGAAACGGCACUUUAAUCAAACCUAAAGGCUAAGGCACAGGAAUCAGGGAACUCGGGAGACAACAGGGAACUCGAGAGGGAACACGGAACACGGAACAUGCAGGACUAACAACCAACACUAACCACAGCAAACCACAAUGACAGCACCCUGAACAAAGGAAAGACGAGGGCCUAAAUAACAAACACAACGAGGAACAGCUGAGACACAUUAGGGGAGGGAACAGUAAUCAACACAGGAGGGAAACACAGGGAGACACCCACACCCUGACAGUACCCCCCCCUUAAGGGUCGACUCCCAGGCGACCCACGACAAGCAAAAAACAAAGAAAGUCAAACCCAAAACGGGUGGGUGGAGGGGCGCCAGGAGGGGGGAAUCAAAAAAAAUGGACUGCGGCAGAGCCGAGGGACGUCAGGCGGGCGGCCAGAAAACUGCCCCAGGGCAUGGCAGGGAGCCUCAGGCGGACGGCCUGGGGGGCAAGCAGAGGCAGAGUGAAGGCGGAACCCUUCAGGAGGCCGGGUGCAAGGACGAUGAGGGCUCAGUCCCUCAGGAGACCUGCAGUGGCACAGAACCCCCUCAGAAGGCCGGCAGCGGUGAAGGCGGAACCCUUCAGGAGGCCGGCGAAGGCGAGGUAGAGGGCGGGUCCCCUCAAGAGGAAGGCCAGGUAGAGGGCGGGUCCCCUCAGGAGGCAGGCCAGGCAGAGGGCGGGUCCCCUCAGGAGGAGGGCCAGGCAGAGGGCGGGUCCCCUCAGGAGGAGGGCCAGGCAGAGGGCGGGUCCCCUCUGGUGGAAGGCCAGGUAGGGGGCGGGUCCCCUCUGGUGGACAGGGUAGAGGGCGGGUCCCCUCUGGUGGAAGGCCAGGCAGAGGGCGGGUCCCCUCUGGUGGAAGGCCAGGUAGAGGGCGUGCCUCCCCUGGACGGUCUGGAGGGCGGACCCCCUCCGGUGGAAGCAGUGGCCGGUCCUCCUCUGGAAGGAGCAGGGGGCAGAACCCCUCAGGCAGGAGCGAAGACCGGUACCCCUCUGGAAGGAGCAGGGGGCGGGCCCCCUCAGGCAGGAGCGGAGGACGGACCACCUCAAGCAGGCGACGAGGCCGGUACCACUCUGGAAGGCGAGGAGUGGGCUCAGGAACCGGACAGGGCCCGGGGACCGGAGUCAGUGCGGGAGCUGGAGUACCAGGAGGAACCGGGUGGUACCCCAAACCCUCCCAGCGCUCCAUUGUCUUAUUUAUUUUGGCUAGUAAAUCCUCCAACUUACGGCUAAAUUGAGCGUCCGCUGGGUCCAAUAGGGGUGCUGUCAUUCUGUUAAGAGAGCUGGAGGUGCAAGCAGGCAGGUAGGACCCAAACGCAGAUGGUAUUGAGGGAAACGGCACUUUAAUCAAACCUAAAGCCUAAGGCACAGGAAUCAGGGAACUCGGGAGAAAACAGGGAACUCGAGAGGGAACACGGAUAACGCAGGACUAACAACCAACACUAACCACAGCAAACCACAAUGACAGCACCCCGAACAAAGGAAAGACGAGGGCCUAAAUAACAAACACAACGAGGAACAGCUGAGACACAUUAGGGGAGGGAACAGUAAUCAACACAGGAGGGAAACACAGGGAGACACCCA
ensembl:lncRNA